rnacentral:rRNA from 1 species
AGGACGAACGCUGGCGGCGUGCCUAAUACAUGCAAGUCGAACGGUCUUUCUAUGGAAGCUUGCUUCCACUGGGAAGAUAGUGGCGAACGGGUGAGUAACACGUGGGUAACCUGCCCAUAAGAGGGGGAUAACAUCCGGAAACGGGUGCUAAUACCGCAUAGUUUUCUUGAUCGCAUGAUUGAGAAAGGAAAGACGGCCUUUGUGCUGUCGCUUAUGGAUGGACCCGCGGCGUAUUAGUUAGUUGGUGAGGUAACGGCUCACCAAGACGAUGAUACGUAGCCGACCUGAGAGGGUGAUCGGCCACAUUGGGACUGAGACACGGCCCAAACUCCUACGGGAGGCAGCAGUAGGGAAUCUUCCGCAAUGGACGAAAGUCUGACGGAGCAACGCCGCGUGAGUGAAGAAAGGUUUUCGGAUCGUAAAACUCUGUUGUCAGAGAAGAACAAGUUGGAGAGUAACUGCUCCAGCCUUGACGGUAUCUGACCAGAAAGCCACGGCUAACUACGUGCCAGCCGCCGC